rnacentral:sRNA from 1 species
UACCGGACCCCGACGCAGACCAGGGGCGAGGGCGGGGAACCCACGUUCCCUACGCAGGGAAGCGGGAACGGUCGGAAACGAACGCUCCCUUGGGGUGAAGUCCCGUGGCGGCCCCACCGCACCGGGACCGGACGGCCUCUCAGUCCGAACCCGACAGCUCACCUCGCAGGCGCGUACGAGAGGGAGU